UACGUAGGGAGCAAGCGUUGUUCGGAAUUACUGGGCGUAAAGGGCUCGUAGGCGGCCAACUAAGUCGGAUGUGAAAUCCCCAGGCUUAACCUGGGAACUGCAUCCGAUACUGGAUGGCUUGAAUCCGGGAGAGGGAUGCAGAAUUCCAGGUGUAGCGGUGAAAUGCGUAGAUAUCUGGAGGAAUACCGGUGGCGAAGGCGGCAUCCUGGACCGGCAUUGACGCUGAGUGAGCGAAAGCCAGGGGGAGCAAACGGG
rnacentral:rRNA from 1 species